GGACAAUUAGGACAAGGAAAGUGAGAGAAAUAGAAUGAUCAUUUAUUUUUUUUAGGAAACGAAGGAAGGAAAAAAGCCAUUUCCUGUUUAAAUUCAACAGUAAAAAUCACGAACUGAAGACAUCGUGACUUUUUGAAAUCGUUUAUGUUUUUGAGUCAAACGGAGCAGGUGGUGAUGGAUCAUUUCUGUUCCUCGAAGAGUUUUUAAAAAAAAAAAAAAAAAAAACAUUAAAUCCUAAAUGUAUGAAAAAUAAAUAUUAUGUACAUUUUAUGUCUAAUUACAGUGAACCUGACGGAGUGAAGCUGACAGAGGCGAAGUGUUCACGCUACAGCAAAUUUCACCGGUUGACACUAAACUCAACUCGCUCACUUAGGAGGUGCGUUUCUCUGUCCCGGGAUAUUCCUAGCACUGUGUGUGAAAGCACCUGAUAUGUCCAGCAUGGAGACGUGUGUGUAUGUUGAUGUGUACACAGUACCAAUGGUCAUUUGGAAUUGUAAAGCAAAACUUUACAAAACUCUUUCUGCACUCGAUUGAGGAAACACAAUGAUAAAUAAAUAAAUAAAUAAAUAAAUAAAUAAAUAAAAUCUGUCCAGCUUCCUCCUCUUCGUCCCCCAGAAUGACGUGUGGGUGACGGAUUGACGGAUUUAAAAAAAAAGAUGUCUGGGCAAACUAUGACCUCCUCGAGUUAAAAGAGAGCAUCCAAGGAAAUUUAAUGUGUUAACUGCACUACAUUCUGCAGUCACACAGCACCAGAAAGAAAAUGUACAUCUACUAGAACACACAAAACAGGCUUUUGAGUAUUAGUUACCCUGUCUUACUGUACAAAGCACCUGCAAAUAAUCAAGCAAGUUCAUCUAUCAUUUCACUUCCACUGUUCAGUCUUUUGACCAGUCUAAAAUAAAAAGACUAAAAAGAAACUGAGACUUAGCAAGAAGAACUAAAGAUCUGUGGAUGAUGAAGUCUCAGUUCCACCGCAGCUUCAACAGCCCUGGAUCUUCUCCUUUAAAGCUUGGAGAAGGGCACGUCUUUCGGACUCUUUUUC
ensembl:lncRNA